rnacentral:sRNA from 2 species
GUAUCAAUUUUACCGAUUCGAAUCGGGGGAAGCGGGUGUGAAUCCCGCACAGUGGCGCUACGGUGACCGGUUAUCCGGAAGUCCGAUUACCUGUCGAAUUGCGAUCGAGAAUGCUUCUUCGAACCAAAGAAGUCAUGCUGUG